AGUGAACGCUGGCGGUAGGCCUAACACAUGCAAGUCGAACGGCAGCACAGGAGAGCUUGCUCUCUGGGUGGCGAGUGGCGGACGGGUGAGGAAUACAUCGGAAUCUACUCUGUCGUGGGGGAUAACGUAGGGAAACUUACGCUAAUACCGCAUACGACCUACGGGUGAAAGCAGGGGAUCUUCGGACCUUGCGCGAUUGAAUGAGCCGAUGUCGGAUUAGCUAGUUGUCGGGGUAAAGGCCCACCAAGGCGACGAACCGUAGCUGGUCUGAGAGGAUGAUCAGCCAGACUGGGACUGAGACACGGUCCAGACUCCUACGGGAGACAGCGGUGGGGAAUAUUGGCCAAUGGGCGCAAGCCUGAUCCAGCCAUACCGCGUGGGUGAAGAAGGCCUUCGGGUUGUAAAGCCCUUUUGUUGGGAAAGAAAUCCAGCUGGCUAAUACCCGGUUGGGAUGACGGUACCCAAAGAAUAAGCACCGGCUAACUUCGUGCCAGCCGCCGCCGUAA
rnacentral:rRNA from 1 species